GUGGGGAAUCUUGUGCAAUGGGCGAAAGCCUGACGCAGCCAUGCCGCGUGAAUGAUGAAGGUCUUAGGAUUGUAAAAUUCUUUCACCGGGGACGAUAAUGACGGUACCCGGAGAAGAAGCUCCGGCUAACUUCGUGCCAGCAGCCGCGGUAAUACGAAGGGGGCUAGCGUUGCUCGGAAUUACUGGGCGUAAAGGGCGCGUAGGCGGACAGCUUAGUCAGAGGUGAAAGCCCAGGGCUCAACCUUGGAAUUGCCUUUGAUACUGGCUGUCUUGAGUUUGGGAGAGGUGAGUGGAACUCCGAGUGUAGAGGUGAAAUUCGUAGAUAUUCGGAAGAACACCAGUGGCGAAGGCGACUCACUGGCCCAAUACUGACGCUGAGGCGCGAAAGCGUGGGGAGCAAACAGGAUUAGAAACCCCUGUAGUCC
rnacentral:rRNA from 1 species